rnacentral:lncRNA from 1 species
AGCAAUUGGUUGAUGAAAAAUAAUGUUUUCAUAUAUUACUACCUUUAUUAAAAUUAGAAUAAAAGAACUUUGGGUUUGAAAUUUCAUCCCGCUGAACUUCACUGGCAUCACUUACUUCGCAUAAGGGAAUCAGUUGUCUUCCUUUUUGUCAAUGUUGUCUUCUUAUUUUCAUUCUUCCAUAACCUUAUCAUUCUCUUUAUUAAAUUUCUUUCUUGUAGAAUGAAGUUGGAACUAGAAAGGAAACGGUGGAGAGGUAUGUGCAGACAAAGAGUGCAGACUACAUGAUUAAACUAGCCAAGACAAUAAGGGAACUAGGGUGGGUUAUGCGAGGUAAAAUUCCAAUUCAUGUAAUGACAAAACAGCAUAAAUAUUUUUGUUGUUUCAAAUUGCAGUGAUCUAGCACUUCAAAAGUAUUUCUCUGAUUUCAACUUUCACGUAGAUGAAAAUGAUUACAUGGUAACCUUCUACAAACCGAAGAAAUUGAAGAAGAAUCACGGCAAGAGAGAAGAAAGAAAACAUUGAAGCUGCAGAAAUCUUCAAGGCUAUGGCCAGAACGCACAGCUCCCUUCCAUCCCUCCGUAUCCUAUAUUUGUAAUGUACCGUCCCAUACUCUGCUAGCUCGCAAGAUGCAAACUUGGGUAACGAUUUUAGGACUUGGUGGUGACUUGGAACGCUCUAAGACCAUUAGUUGACUUGUAAUUGGAUGCCGUUUAGACCAUACCUCGCAAGUUAAAGACUUGAGUAACAAUUUUUAGAACUUGGUGACAUGGAAUGCUUUAUGAUUAUAAGGU